rnacentral:rRNA from 1 species
UACGGAGGAUCCGAGCGUUAUCCGGAUUUAUUGGGUUUAAAGGGUGCGCAGGCGGGGGAUUAAGUCGGCGGUGAAAUUUUGCAGCUCAACUGUAAAAGUGCCUUCGAAACUGGUUUCCUUGAGUGUAGAUGAAGUAGGCGGAAUUUGUGGUGUAGCGGUGAAAUGCAUAGAUAUCACGAGGAACUCCGAUUGCGCAGGCAGCUUACUAAACUACUACUGACGCUCAGGCACGAAUGCGUGGGGAUCAAACAGGGAUUAGAUACCCUGGUA